rnacentral:ncRNA from 1 species
UAUUUUACAUUGACAGGGAUAGUAGUUGUAUUGAGUACUAUAGAGAGCUGGCGGAUGGUGCAAGCCAGUGACUGAUACAAUGAAGCUCACCCUUGAGUUAUUUUAGUCAACCAAUUGCGGCUAGCUAAAAUCGUAGGACUGCGUUAAAGUCAUUGAGUGAGUAAUUCGGUUGCUUCGCCUUUGUUGACUGACAUUGGUUAAGUUGUCGAUUACUAAUUAGGGUGGUACCGCGAAUCAAACCUCUCGUCCCUAGC